AUUUUUUAGGUCAUCCAGAGGUCACCAUCCCCCCAUUUUACUCCGACUUGAACCGGAGUGGUCUACCUUUUUAAUGCUGUUUGUGCCGCUUUUAUGUACAAACUAUAUAACUUUCUUUCAGGCGAUCACUGACGACUUAAAUCGAUGACGUCUAUGGCCUGCGCUGAACAUCAUCACCACAAAGCAAGCAGUUAUUAAUUUCGUGUUUUUCUUUCAUCAUGCAAGUUAAAUUGUGUUUUUAUCCGAUGUUGUAAAAUGUAUGCCUUGUUAUAUUGUUUUGCACUUUAUUCAGGGCAUGAGGAGGACACAUGACCAAUAUAUUCAUAGUUGGACAGUAUUUCCCAUCCCAUACAUGAAGCUAGUAAAGACAUGGAGAGACACAGUCUUCACUAUAUUUGCCAGGUCAUCAUGAAGCUCCCACACACAUGGAGCUCUUCGGCAGUAUGCAAUGUAAUGUCCCAGACCAUCUUUAGUCAAGCUUCCCUUAAAAGCAACGACUCCUCUCAAAGUGAAUGUCUUUCCUUGGAGAGCAACAGUGGGGGGACAUUCACUCAAAGGAAACUGAGUUGUGUUUGCAAGUGGGCGAAGGCAGGGAGACUCCGGAAGGAAGAGUCCAUUUUCCACUGAAAUGUCAAGCUGAGCCAUGCCACAGUCCAUCAGCACAGAAAUGUCAGGAGAAACAAAUGUGGCUGAGCUUGCUGUGAGGUUGGUGCUUUUGAAGAGGGGGACCAUUACUCCUGUCCAAAGUGGCAGUCCCACUGACAGAUCAUCUUUAUGCAGUGUGCCACAUCAACCCUGAUAAAACAAGGAGGAAGUUUUGCAGACUGGUUCCCAAGUAGCAAACGGAAGCAUUCGUUAAUGUAUGUCUUCAGAUCGGGGUAAGGAGUGAAGGCCUUCACCAGAGCACCAAGAAUAGCCAGAGAAAAGUCACUCACGGCUUCUUUUGGUAUAGCAGCACCUGUACGAAGCCAUUCUGUCAGCCAUGUUGCAUUAAUGUCGUGU